rnacentral:pre_miRNA from 1 species
ACAUUGAAGCUGGCUGGGGAAAAUGAUUGGAUAGAAAGCACUGUUCUAUUCAUUUACUCCCCAGCCUACAAACAAAAAU